UACGAAGGGGGCUAGCGUUGCUCGGAAUCACUGGGCGUAAAGCGCACGUAGGCGGAUCUUUAAGUCAGGGGUGAAAUCCUGGAGCUCAACUCCAGAACUGCCUUUGAUACUGGGGAUCUCGAGUCCGGUAGGGGAGUGUGGAAUUCCUGGUGUAGCGGUGAAAUGCGCAGAUAUCGGGAGGAACACCAACAGCGAAGGCAGCACUCUGGGCCGGUACUGACGCUGAGGAGCGAAAGCAUGGGGAGCGAACAGG
rnacentral:rRNA from 1 species